AUGGUCAUGGUUGUUUUGUUAAAUGCAAAGAACUACAAGGUACAGCAGUGCAUGGCAGUCUGUGGAGAAGCAGGAAACAGACGCAGCUUCAUCAGUCCAUCAACCCCAAAAGAAAACACAACUGACAAGGCCAUGUUCGUCAACUCCUCAUCCUCCCUCAAUGUUACCCUGGUCCCCCCCUCUUACAUCCCUUCUUUAUACGAAGAAUGCCUGAAAUUCACAUCCAGCAUUGUCAUCUAUACCGUGUACACCUUCACCAAUGUCCUCUUCCUCCUCCCUCUCUAUAUCCUCAUCCUCUACGUGGGUUUCCAACAAUGGAGGCAUCAGCGCUCUGUGCCUGCAGGGCAGUCGACGAGCCACUCUGACGUCUUCACCUACCACAUCGUCACUGUGGAGAUCGUUGGUGUCUUUGGAUCACUUGUCUGUUGUUUGGGAAUAUACACCAAAUAUGUGACUGUGUUGCUGUUGGGGCUGAUUGUAUUCUCCAUUACAUUCUGUGGACAGGCUCUCUUUCACUGCCUGACCUGUGUCGAGCGCUACGUAGCUGUUCUUCACCCCGUCACCUACAUGCGCCUGCGAGACAGAGGCGGGGUCAGGAUUAGAAACAUCAGCAUCGUGUGUGUUUGGCUGGUGUGUUUUGGAUGGAUCGGAUUAAACAAACUGUAUCUGCCUGAUUUUCCUGUUAUCCCGUUACUCUGCAUGUUGGGCGUCUUACUAAUUGUUGUAUUUUUCUGCUGCCUUUCGGUCCUCUGUGCUCUGACGGAUUCAGGGCCGGGGGAGGUGGGCGGGAACAAGGAGCGCAUUGACCAAUCAAAGCAGAGAGCUUUCAACAUCAUCUGUGCCAUAAUGGUAGUGCUGCUGUUGAGGUUUAUCGGGCUUCUGGUUAGUUUUGGCUUGUCCUAUUUACCGAAGAUACGUCAAGAAGAUCUGUGUGUGUUGAUGGACUGUGGAAUCUAUCUGACUGUGCCCAGCAGUCUGGUUCUGCCUCUACUGUUUCUACACAAGACAGGAAAACUGGCAUGUUGUAGGCACUUAAUCGGGAUAAGGAGUCACGAGAAUAGAACAGGUGAAAACCUAAGUUAAAAUCCCACUGACCCAUAUCCCCUUUUGAUUAACGUUUGGCUACUGCUCUGCUUUCUGCUCAAGAGUCGGCAAUGUUGUCAUAGCAACAUGGAGCGUCUAGCCAAUUUCAGCUGCACAAGCUACAAAAUAACUAAUUUAACGGUAUUUAACACAUAAUAAGACUGUAGCGACAUGCCUAUAGGUAACAGUAUACAGUGCUGUGUGUACGACUUCUUCAUUUGGUUACAACAAAGACAAAAGUGGUUAGCAGAUCGAGUUGGGUGGACAAAUAGAACGCACCAUUAUAAUUAAUCCCACCUGUGUAUAUUCAUUGUUAAUUUGCCAGAAGACAUGCUAAACAAGGGCAUCUUGGCCAAAACGUCUGUUUGAUAGAGGUUUUGUCCUUUGUUUUCUGAUUUUAUACGUUUAGGAUUCAGCACCCAGUCUUUAUAGUUUUAAUGGGAGUUGAGCGUGCUGCACGUUGUUUCUGAAAAAAAAAAUAUAUAUAUUUGUAUUUUGUUACUUUUAUUUAUUAUUUGUAAGACUUAUCACAUUAUGUAAAAAUGUGCUGAUAAAUUUUGUUUAAUGUUGAGAAAGUAGAAAUAAAUUCACUACAGGAUCC
rnacentral:lncRNA from 15 species